rnacentral:lncRNA from 1 species
UCCAAUUCAAUUGGACUUGAUCCAAAAAUAAUUACUCAAUCAAAUUAAGUUAAUUAGUGAUCAAAUCACUAAUUAAACCUCUCAUAAAUAUUGAGUCCAAAUCUGAUGGGCAAUCGGGCAUCAGAAUUCAUCGAUAUGUAACCCUGAUCGAAAAGUUCCAACUAGUGGGACUCUUGACCCCGGUACCCAUAAUGUGUGGAACUCGUGAUCAGAGAAUCUUGAUUCUCGAUCACUAAGUCUCAAACAUGUAGGAUUCUACACCAGCCAUCAGAUCAGAUAGGAACCUCUAAUGUGUGUGACCCCGCAGGUUCGAACCUAAGCCGGUAGCACAGGAACCAAUUCCUGUACUAAUCGAAGUGAUCAUCUAGCAAUGAUACCCGACGUCUGGAUAGGUCGAAUAGUCGCAAUCACAAUAUUCAGAACCUACAUGAAUAUGGUUACUGUAUAAUUCAUCCUUUUGACCCUUGUGUUUAGGACGACUCAAGGUUAAACUGUCAAUCCUGAUC